CGGUCAUAUGCUCAGUUAAAAGAUUAAGCCAUGCACGUCUAAGUUCAUCUCUCGAAGUGAAACUGCGAACGGCUCAUUAUAUCAGUUAUGAUUUACUUGAUUUUGAUUAUCUAUGGAUAACUGYGGUAAUUCUGGAGCUAAUACAUGCAUCAAAACCCAGAUCGUAAGAGACGGGUGCACUUAUUAGACUUAUACCAGCCGGGCAACCGAUACUGGUGACUCUGAAUAACCCAGCCGAUCGCUGCUUCGGCGGCGACGUCUCAAUCAAGUUUCUGCCUUAUCAACUUUCGAUGGUAGUUUAUGUGACUACCAUGGUUGUAACGGGUAACGGAGAAUAAGGGUUCGACUCCGGAGAGGGAGCCUGAGAAACGGCUACCACAUCCAAGGAAGGCAGCAGGCGCGCAAAUUACCCACUCUCAAUACGAGGAGGUAGUGACUAACAAUAACGAGACAGCUCUCUUUGAGGGUUGUUAUCGGAAUGGGUUCAAUCUAAACCCUUUAUCGAGGAUCUAUGAGAGGGCAAGUCUGGUGCCAGCAGCCGCGGUAAUUCCAGCUCUCAAGGCGUAUAUCGCCAUUGCUGCGGUUAAAAAGCUCGUAGUUGGAUCUGAGCCGAUGGACGCUGUCUCGCUUCGGCGGGUACAGUCGUUCUCGGCUACACAUUGCAAUGUGCGGCAGUUUCGGCUGUUCGUGCUUGCAGAGUUACUUUGAAUAAACUAAAGUGCUCAACACAGGCGUCUCGCCUGAAUAUCUAUGCAUGGAAUAAUGGAAUAGGAUCUCGGUUCUGUUUCGUUGGUUGAUAGACCAGGAUAAUGAUUAAGAGGGACAACUCGGGGGCAUUCGUAUCGCUGCGUGAGAGGUGAAAUUCUUGGACCGCAGCGGGACGCCCUAUUGCGAAAGCAUUUGCCAAGAAUGUCUUCGUUAAUCAAGAACGAAAGUCAGAGGAUCGAAGGCGAUUAGAUACCGCCCUAGUUCUGACCGUAAACUAUGCCAACUCGCGAUCAGAUGGUGCCAUAUCGGCCCGUCUGGGAGCGUCCCGGAAACGAAAGUCUUCGGGUUCCGGGGGAAGUAUGGUUGCAAAACUGAAACUUAAAGGAAUUGACGGAAGGGCACCACCAGGAGUGGAGCCUGCGGCUUAAUUUGACUCAACACGGGAAAACUCACCCGGCCCGGACACUCGAAGGAUUGACAGAUUGAAAGCUCUUUCUUGAUUAAGUGGUUGGUGGUGCAUGGCCGUUCUUAGUUGGUGGUGUGAAUUGUCUGGUUAAUUCCGACAACGAGCGAGACUCUAUUCUAUUAAAUAGGGUAGGCGGAUUCGUCCGUCUUUCACCUUCUUAAAGAGACAAGCGGUGUAAGCCGCACGAGAUUGAGCAAUAACAGGUCUGUGAUGCCCUUAGAUGUCCGGGGCUGCACGCGCGCUACACUGGAGGGAUCAGUCGGUCGCCUAGCUCGAAAGAGCCUGGUAAACCUUCCAAAACCCUCCGUGUCUGGGAUAGGGCAUUGUAAUUAUUGCCCUUGAACGAGGAAUUCCUAGUAAGUGUGAGUCAUUAGCUCGCAUUGAUUACGUCCCUGCCCUUUGUACACACCGCCCGUCGCUACCCGGAACUGAGCCUCUUUGAGAAGUGCGGGAAUCGGUGGAAGUUCGAUUUCGGUCGUCUUCUACUGAGAACCGACCUAAUCACAGAGGUUUGAACCGGGUAAAAGUCGUAACAAGGUAUCGGUAGGU
rnacentral:rRNA from 1 species